rnacentral:tRNA from 1 species
GCCUUCGUGGUGUAGGGGUCUGCAUGUUCGACGCGUAACCAAGAGGUCCGUGGUUCGAUUCCCGGCGAAGGCG